AUUGAACGCUGGCGGAAUGCUUUACACAUGCAAGUCGAACGGCAGCACGGGGGCAGCCCUGGUGGCGAGUGGCGAACGGGUGAGUAAUACAUCGGAACGUGCCCGGUCGUGGGGGAUAACGUAGCGAAAGUUACGCUAAUACCGCAUACGAUCUGCGGAUGAAAGCGGGGGACCUUCGGGCCUCGCGCGAUCGGAGCGGCCGAUGUCAGAUUAGGUAGUUGGUGGGGUAAAGGCCUACCAAGCCGACGAUCUGUAGCUGGUCUGAGAGGACGACCAGCCACACUGGGACUGAGACACGGCCCAGACUCCUACGGGAGGCAGCGGUGGGGAAUUUUGGACAAUGGGCGCAAGCCUGAUCCAGCCAUUCCGCGUGCAGGACGAAGGCCUUCGGGUUGUAAACUGCUUUUGUACGGAACGAAAAGGCUCUGGCUAAUACCUGGGGCUCAUGACGGUACCGGAAGAAUAAGCACCGGCUAACUACGUG
rnacentral:rRNA from 1 species